rnacentral:tRNA from 1 species
GCAGGGAGUAGUUUAAGUAGAAUU